GAUGAACGCUGGCGGCGUGCCUAAUACAUGCAAGUCGAGCGAACAGACGAGGAGCUUGCUCCUCUGACGUUAGCGGCGGACGGGUGAGUAACACGUGGAUAACCUACCUAUAAGACUGGGAUAACUUCGGGAAACCGGAGCUAAUACCGGAUAAUAUAUUGAACCGCAUGGUUCAAUAGUGAAAGACGGUUUUGCUGUCACUUAUAGAUGGAUCCGCGCCGCAUUAGCUAGUUGGUAAGGUAACGGCUUACCAAGGCAACGAUGCGUAGCCGACCUGAGAGGGUGAUCGGCCACACUGGAACUGAGCCACGGUCCAGACUCCUACGGGAGGUAGCAGUAGGGAAUCUUUCGCAAUGGGCGAAAGCCUGACGGAGCAACGCCGCGUGAGUGAUGAAGGUCUUCGGAUCGUAAAACUCUGUUAUUAGGGAAGAACAAAUGUGUAAGUAACUAUGCACGUCUUGACGGUACCUAAUCAGAAAGCCACGGCUAACUACGUG
rnacentral:rRNA from 1 species